CUUUAAAGGCCGGUCCCGUUAUAGCAGAAUGUAUCCUUUGCUUGUGGACUUAAAAAAGCUUAUAGUUUGGCUGGACGUCUUUUUAAACAAUAAAAUUUACAGAAAUUCCUUUUUUAACGUUUUAUUUAUAAAACCAAAUACCGGAUCUAACAAUAAUUACGAGGAAGUUAAAGUUUCACCAUUUCGUAAUGAACUUAUAGAGAGCUUCUUUGAAAAAGUUCAUUCAGAUCAGUUUACUAUGGAGUACGAAUUAUCGGUGUUAAGUUUUC